rnacentral:lncRNA from 1 species
CUCCUGCCUCCUAGGCUGCACUACAGCGGAUCAGAGGGAUCCUCUCUAACGCUAACAGAGAAAAGCUGACCCCUCCUUCUCUCCUCCUCCUCCUAAGCUGUGAGUCUGUGGGCCUGGCCAGAUUGCUGGAAUGAGGAGGCCCCUCUGUGGCCUGCAAUGGAGUUUACCCACCUGGGAAAAUUCACUUAUAUUUCCUCUGGACAUCAGUCACGGGGACCACAAGAGGCUGAGCAUCGCAAAUAAGGAAGUGGAAUCCCAGAAUCCGUGCCAGAGUGCAGGCAGGUCACUGGGGUAGGCAGGCGGCUGGGUGAGUCACAGGAGGGAUAUAAAACUGACUUCCCUUUGUGGGUGCCUUCAUUCACGUCUUCGCCAGACAGGAAAGGGGGGAGGAAAAAACUCUGAGAAGGAAAUCCUUAAGGACGGAAUAUACUCACGCUUCAAAAUGAAUGACUAGAGCCAACAUAAAGCCUCAGGUGGCUCUCUUGCAAUCUACCUUUGCCAUACGUGACGAACCAGAUGUCAGCCAGAUGUGUCAGAUCACACCCACU